GACGGGACCCGCACAAGCGGUGGAUGAUGUGGAUUAAUUCGAUGCAACGCGAAAAACCUUACCUACCCUUGACAUGUACGGAACCCUGCUGAAAGGUGGGGUGCUCGAAAGAGAGCCGUAACACAGGUGCUGCAUGGCUGUCGUCAGCUCGUGUCGUGAGAUGUUGGGUUAAGUCCCGCAACGAGCGCAACCCUUGUCAUUAGUUGCUACGAAAGGGCACUCUAAUGAGACUGCCGGUGACAAACCGGAGGAAGGUGGGGAUGACGUCAAGUCCUCAUGGCCCUUAUGGGUAGGGCUUCACACGUCAUACAAUGGUACAUACAGAGGGCUGCCAACCCGCGAGGGGGAGCUAAUCCCAGAAAGUGUAUCGUAGUCCGGAUUGUAGUCUGCAACUCGACUACAUGAAGUUGGAAUCGCUAGUAAUCGCGGAUCAGCAUGUCGCGGUGAAUACGUUCCCGGGUCUU
rnacentral:rRNA from 1 species